UUUUAUGGAGAGUUUGAUCCUGGCUCAGGAUGAACGCUGGCGGCGUGCCUAAUACAUGCAAGUCGAGCGAACGGACGAGAAGCUUGCUUCUCUGAUGUUAGCGGCGGACGGGUGAGUAACACGUGGAUAACCUACCUAUAAGACUGGGAUAACUUCGGGAAACCGGAGCUAAUACCGGAUAAUAUUUUGAACCGCAUGGUUC
rnacentral:rRNA from 1 species